rnacentral:rRNA from 1 species
CCCGAUAGGACUAUCCACCUGAAAUGGUUUGUGUUCCAAAUGAUUUAUCGCCGUAGGAUGGGACUGCGGCCUAUCAGUUUGUUGGUGAGGUAAUGGCCCACCAAGACUAUUACAGGUACGGGCUCUGAGAGGAGUAGCCCGGAGAUGGGUACUGAGACACGGACCCAGGCCCUAUGGGGCGCAGCAGGCGAGAAAACUUUGCAAUGUGCGAAAGCACGACAAGGUUAAUCCGAGUGAUUUCUGCUAAAGAAAUCUUUUGUUAGUCCUAGAAACACUAACGAAUAAGGGGUGGGCAAGUUCUGGUGUCAGCCGCCGCGGUAAAACCAGCACCUCAAGUGGUCAGGAUGAUUAUUGGGCCUAAAGCAUCCGUAGCCGGCUCUGUAAGUUUUCGGUUAAAUCUGUACGCUCAACGUACAGGCUGCCGGGAAUACUGCAGAGCUAGGGAGUGGGAGAGGUAGACGGUACUCGGGAGGAAGUGGUAAAAUGCUUUGAUCUCUCGAUGACCACCUGUGGCGAAGGCGGUCUACCAGAACACGUCCGACGGUGAGGGAUGAAAGCUGGGGGAGCAAACCGGAUUAGAUACCCGGGUAGUCCCAGCUGUAAACUAUGCAAACUCAGUGAUGCAUUGGCUUGUGGCCAAUGCAGUAUUGCAGGGAAGCCGUUAAGUUUGCCGCCUGGGAAGUACGUACGCAAGUAUGAAACUUAAAGGAAUUGGCGGGGGAGCACCACAAGGGGUGAAGCCUGCGGUUCAAUUGGAUUCAACGCCGGGAAUCUUACCCGGAGAGACAGCAGAAUGAAGGUCAAGCUGAAGACUUUACCAGACAAGCUGAGAGGUGGUGCAUGGCCGUCGCCAGCUCGUGCCGUGAGAUGUCCUGUUAAGUCAGGUAACGAGCGAGAUCC